AUUGAACGCUGGCGGCAUGCUUUACACAUGCAAGUCGAACGGUAACAGGGAGCUUGCUCCGCUGACGAGUGGCGAACGGGUGAGUAAUGCGUCGGAACGUGCCGAGUAGUGGGGGAUAACGCAUCGAAAGGUGUGCUAAUACCGCAUACGUACUGAGGUAGAAAGUGGGGGACCUUCGGGCCUCACGCUAUUCGAGCGGCCGACGUCUGAUUAGCUAGUUGGUAGGGUAAAGGCUCACCAAGGCGACGAUCAGUAGCGGGUCUGAGAGGAUGAUCCGCCACACUGGGACUGAGACACGGCCCAGACUCCUACGGGAGGCAGCAGUGGGGAAUUUUGGACAAUGGGCGCAAGCCUGAUCCAGCCAUGCCGCGUGUCUGAAGAAGGCCUUCGGGUUGUAAAGGACUUUUGUCCGGGAGCAAAUGCCUGGUGUUAAUAGCACUGGGAGCUGAGAGUACCGGAAGAAUAAGCACCGGCUAACUACGUGCCAGCCGCCGCCGUAACAC
rnacentral:rRNA from 1 species